UGGGGAAUUUUGGACAAUGGGCGCAAGCCUGAUCCAGCCAUGCCGCGUGCGGGAAGAAGGCCUUCGGGUUGUAAACCGCUUUUGUCAGGGAAGAAACGCUCUGGGCUAAUACCCCGGGGUAAUGACGGUACCUGAAGAAUAAGCACCGGCUAACUACGUGCCAGCAGCCGCGGUAAUACGUAGGGUGCAAGCGUUAAUCGGAAUUACUGGGCGUAAAGCGUGCGCAGGCGGUCUUGCAAGACAGAUGUGAAAUCCCCGGGCUUAACCUGGGAACUGCAUUUGUGACUGCAAGGCUAGAGUACGGCAGAGGGGGAUGGAAUUCCGCGUGUAGCAGUGAAAUGCGUAGAUAUGCGGAGGAACACCGAUGGCGAAGGCAAUCCCCUGGGCCUGUACUGACGCUCAUGCACGAAAGCGUGGGGAGCAAACA
rnacentral:rRNA from 1 species